GGGAUUACCUCAGUAACGGCGAGUGAAGCGGUAACAGCUCAAAUUUGAAAGCUAGCUCUUCUAGGGUUCGCAUUGUAAUUUGUAGAAGAUGCUUCGAGUGUGGCCCCGGUCUAAGUUCCUUGGAACAGGACGUCAUAGAGGGUGAGAAUCCCGUAUGUGACUGGGUGCUUUCGCUCAUGUGAAGCUCUUUCGACGAGUCGAGUUGUUUGGGAAUGCAGCUCAAAAUGGGUGGUAAAUUUCAUCUAAAGCUAAAUAUUGGCCAGAGACCGAUAGCGCACAAGUAGAGUGAUCGAAAGAUGAAAAGCACUUUGGAAAGAGAGUUAAACAGUACGUGAAAUUGUUGAAAGGGAAGCGCUUGCAACCAGACUUGCGCGCUGAUGAUCAUCCUGACUUCUGUCUGGUGCACUCGUCUGCGCUCAGGCCAGCAUCGGUUUCGGUGGUGGGAUAAAGGCCUUGGGAAUGUAGCUACUCUCGGGUAGUGUUAUAGCCCUCGGUGCAAUGCCGCCUACCGGGACCGAGGACCGCGCUUCGGCUAGGAUGCUGGCGUAAUGGUUGUAAGCGACCCGUCUUGAAACACGGACCAAGGAGUCUAACAUCUAUGCGAGUGUUUGGGUGUCAAACCCAUACGCGUAAUGAAAGUGAACGGAGGUGAGAACCCUUAAAGGUGCAUCAUCGACCGAUCCUGAUGUCUUCGGAUGGAUUUGAGUAAGAGCAUAGCUGUUGGGACCCGAAAGAUGGUGAACUAUGCGUGAAUAGGAUGAAGCCAGAGGAAACUCUGGUGGAGGCUCGCAGCGGUUCUGACGUGCAAAUCGAUCGUCAAAUUGCGUAUA
rnacentral:rRNA from 1 species